UACGAAGGGGCUAGCGUUGCUCGGAAUCACUGGGCGUAAAGCGCACGUAGGCGGACUCUUAAGUCGGUGGUGAAUCCUGGAGCUCAACUCCAGAACUGCCUCGAUACUGAGAGUCUCAGAGUCCGGGAGAGGUGAGUGGAACUCCGAGUGUAGAGGUGAAAUUCGUAGAUAUUCGGAAGAACACCAGGUGGCGAAGGCGG
rnacentral:rRNA from 1 species